AUGAGACUGCACUCGUAGGCAGACAGGGUGUUAUUCACGGAUACAGAGAAUACAGGAAGGGGGCAAAGACUACUUUUGAUGGGAGCAGCCAUAAGUUCAGUCUACAACACUGUGAGCCAGCCGUGGAACACCCAAGGGCCGAUGAAUGUGCCUGGCCUCCCGCAGACAGAGCUGGGCUGAAGACACAAACCUGAGCACUAUCAGCGAGCACAUAGGAAACUACUCCGUCACUGGGGAAGUUGGCAAGGGUUGUUCCAUUGAGUGAUGUGGGAAGGAUCGGAGUCGCCGUGGGCUAACGUGGCACUGAGAGAGAGUGAAAAUCCUCCUCUGUCUGCGGGUAAGGUUGAAGAAGAAGGGUACUGCCGAUCAUUCAGAUUUCACCUGGAAUCCAUCUGAGCUGGAGCAGGACCAAAUGUUUAACUAGGCUGAGGAGUCCAGUGCCACGCCCACUGCCCAAGGGAUGAUUGUUUUGGAUCUUAUCAAUAUUUUGAACUGGGAAUAGGUUGCACUUCAGUUUUAGAUAAUUUUGGUUGAUCUUUGAAUUCCAGCUUCCCAGGGCCCCAGAAUAAGAGCAAAAUUCUGCAAAUGUGAUCUUUCUGCUAACCAUUUGCCAUUAUUGCUUUCUCUGCAAAAUUCAGGGUUCAAAUGUGUUAGUUGGGGAAUGGGGGCCAAGGUAGAUUUUUGGAACAAGUGAUUUGACUUUGUCUUUGGGACUCUUUCAAAGUCCAACUCAUCCAGUGAGCCCUCACCAUCGUUCAAGACUUUGGUGCUUUCUUCUCAUCCAUGGCUGACUGUUCUCAUCUCCCCUGGACCAGGCAUCCACCCUCAAGAAUGGGUGAUCCACAACUCUCUUCUCACUGAUGGUAGAUUUUUCUCUACACAUCAGUUCAUCAAAAUUUCCUGGCUUGCGUCUA